UACGGAGGGGGCUAGCAUUGUUCGGAAUUACUGGGCGUAAAGCGCACGUAGGCGGCUUUGUAAGUUAGAGGUGAAAGCCCGGGGCUCAACUCCGGAAUUGCCUUUAAGACUGCAUCGCUAGAAUUGUGGAGAGGUAAGUGGAAUUCCGAGUGUAGAGGUGAAAUUCGUAGAUAUUCGGAAGAACACCAGUGGCGAAGGCGGCUCACUGGACUGGUAUUGACGCUGAGGUGCGAAAGCGUGGGGAGCAAACAGG
rnacentral:rRNA from 1 species